UACGUUUGAUCCCAUUAAAAUCUGCGGCGGCUGGAUUAUUUAAAAUAGACCAAUUCCAUGUUAUUAUUUACAUACGGGUAUUUCGCGCAUGCGCAUAUUCCUGGAGUGUAGCGGGGCCUGAAAGACGUUUGUUUUACUCCCCGCUCAUCGACGCGCUGCCGCGUUAGAACCGUUCAGUUAACAGGAUGAAACCCAGAAAUAAAAGCAGAAGUCGAGCCUCAUGCACAACCAAGGAUGGAACAAGUGAUUUCUGGAUGACUUUCAGCUCACCUCGAGUUUCCUAAUGAAACGCCUCUGGGUUGUAAAAUGCAGCGCAAACCAGGUAAGCGACACUCUAUUAAAAUGAUCCACUGUCUCGCGUUCCCUCAUCAACUCCCUCAUGGCUUAUAUAGUACAUCCCUGAGUGCUUGGGAUGGUGUGAACAACCAGAACCUUCGCAGUCCUACUGGACACUAACGACACUGAGGAGCUUUAAUGAGUCCCAGCGUUUCUCCGUCAUACAUGGAGGUUUGAUUCAUGAAUCUGAGCUGCAGUGAGGAGCAGACAUUCCCACGUAAAAACACAGCAAAGCUGUUGUGCUGCCACCGCCGACUACACACUGUCGCCUUCUCUAUUUAUAUCUGCAGAGGAAUUCUGGAUUCGGAGGCUCAGCUGCCACUUCUAUUAUUACUAUUAGCUAAUACUGUAACAAGCACAGUACUAAAACCAACUUUAUGGCUGCUUUAUCCAUAACCCUAAUUAUGUCCACACUGUUGUAUAAAUCCAAUCACUUUUAGCAUGCUUUGCAUGUGUAGAAAACGAUAUGCAGGUGCAAUCAGGUUCAGUUCUGCUUUGUUUUUACAAAAAUAAUAUCUGUGGUGUAACUGAAUUUUACCUACACUUCAAAAAACACAAAUCUAAUCAAAUAUCUUUGGUAGUUUCUCGUGCAACUAUCUUAGAUGACCCUAAAAUUGCACUCAGGUAAGAGUAGCAGUAAUUCAACAUAAAUUCACUCUAGAAAAGGUAAAAAUUAGCUGUCCAAGAAAUUACACGAGUAAAAAAAAUCGACUCAAGUACAAAGCAACUGAACAAUAUUUAAAAAUUGCAUAAUCGGAUGGACUAAAAUAUAAAGUUACGUUAAAAUUGUGUUGUUUUUUUUUUAAGAUCUAAAUGAGAAUUAUUAAUAUAAAUGGCAUAAUUGCUAAAUAAACUAAUUCUAAAGAAACAUUCUUUAAAAUAUAAUUCUUUCAAUAUGAAACCUAUGAAAAUUUAGUGAAAAUACCAAGUGUUCAUCUCUUUGCCAGAGGAACUGCAACUUUUUCAGCAGC